rnacentral:rRNA from 1 species
AUUGAACGCUGGCGGAAUGCUUUACACAUGCAAGUCGAACGGCAGCACGGGUGCUUGCACCUGGUGGCGAGUGGCGAACGGGUGAGUAAUACAUCGGAACGUACCCUGACGUGGGGGAUAACGUAGCGAAAGUUACGCUAAUACCGCAUACGUCCUGAGGGAGAAAGCAGGGGAUCGUAAGACCUUGCGCGUUAGGAGCGGCCGAUGGCGGAUUAGCUAGUUGGUAGGGUAAAGGCCUACCAAGGCGACGAUCCGUAGCGGGUCUGAGAGGACGACCCGCCACACUGGAACUGAGACACGGUCCAGACUCCUACGGGAGGCAGCAGUGGGGAAUUUUGGACAAUGGGCGAAAGCCUGAUCCAGCCAUUCCGCGUGAGUGAAGAAGGCCUUCGGGUUGUAAAGCUCUUUCGGCGGGGAAGAAACGGUUUUGGAUAAUACCCAGAACUAAUGACGGUACCUGAAGAAGAAGCACCGGCUAACUACGUGCCAGCAGCCGCCGUAA